UUGAAUAAACUUGGUUGGGUUGCUGCUGGCUCUUAGGAGCAUGUGCACGCUCGGUCAAAUUUUUAACCACCUGUGCACACACUGUAGGCCUGAAUGAACUCUGUCGAGGAAAACUCGGUUUGAGAACUGCCGAGCUGUUCUUGCAUUUCAGGUCUAUGUUUCAAACAUAUACUCCAUAUACAAGUGAAAUAGAAUGUCAAUCUUUUACUGGCUUUUUUGUGCCUUUAAAACCUAAUA
rnacentral:misc_RNA from 1 species